rfam:Oryza glaberrima chromosome 1 Oglab01_0179_6, whole genome shotgun sequence.
AAGGAGUGCAGUUUUGCAUUGCUCAUGUCCAACAUUUGACCGUCCGUUUUAUUUGAAAAAUUUUAUGAUUAGUAUUUUAUUGUUAUUAGAUGAUAAAACAUAAUAGUAUUGUAUUUUACAUGUGACUAUUUUUAAAAAGAAAUUCAUAAAUUUUUCAAAUAAAACGGAUGAUCAAACAUUAGACACGGAAAUUCACGACUGCACUUAAA